CCCUUAGAUGUUCUGGGCUGCACGCGCGCUACACUGAUGCGCUCAACAAGUUUAUGACCUUGCCCGGAAGGGUUGGGUAAUCUUUUUAAAACGCAUCGUGAUGGGGAUAGAUUAUUGCAAUUAUUAAUCUUUAACGAGGAAUUCCUAGUAAGCGCGAGUCAUCAGCUCGUGCUGAUUACGUCCCUGCCCUUUGUACACACCGCCCGUCGCUACUACCGAUUGAAUGGUUUAGUGAGAUCUCCGGAUUGGCUCUGUAGGUCCCGCAAGGGAUUUAUUAGUAGCCAAGAAGCUGCUCAAACUUGAUCAUUUAGAGGAAGUAAAAGUCGUAACA
rnacentral:rRNA from 1 species